CAGGGUGUAAACGCUGCAGACUUGGUGUUGGGAACCCUUCGGGGGUGCUCAGUGCCGGAGAGAAGUUGUUAAGUCUGCUACUUGGGGAGUACGUCCGCAAGGAUGAAACUUAAAGGAAUUGGCGGGGGAGCACCGCAACGGGAGGAGCGUGCGGUUUAAUUGGAUUCAACGCCGAAAAACUCACCAGCAGCGACUGUUACAUGAAAGUCAGGUUGAUGACCUUACUAGAUUUUCAGAGAGGUGG
rnacentral:rRNA from 1 species